GAGAGAGACAUGCGCGCAUAUCAAUAAGCGGAGGAAAAGAAACUAACAAGGAUUCCCUUAGUAACGGCGAGUGAAGCGGGAAGAGCUCAAAUUUGAAAUCUUCAAGGUUUUACCUUGACGAAUUGUAGUUUAAAGAAGUGUUUUCUGCUGAAGUUUUGGUAAAAGUUCUUUGGAAUAGGACAUCAUAGAGGGUGAGAAUCCCGUAUUUGACCAUUAUUUCCAGCUUUGUGAUACACUUUCAAAGAGUCGGAUUGUUUGGGAAUGCAGUCCAAAAUGGGUGGUAAAUUUCAUCUAAAGCUAAAUAUUGGCGAGAGACCGAUAGCGAACAAGUACCGUGAGGGAAAGAUGAAAGAACUUUGAGAAAGAGAGUUAAACAGUACGUGAAAUUGUCAAAAGGGAAGCGUUUGACACCAGUGUUGUUUUCUCGAAAAUCAAUUAAAAAUGGCUCGAUUUUGUAUUGCUUGAGACCUUAAAAGCUCACUGUACAUUUUUCGUGUCUUUUUUAAUGCACUUUUCGUUUAACAAGUCAACAUCAGUUUCUUUUGUUGUAAAAGGGUCAUUGGAAGGUGGCUUUCUUUUCGGAGAAAGUGUUUAUAGCCUUUGGCCUCUGCAAUCGGAGAGACUGAGGUCUGCAGCGUAGACUCCUCGAGGUUAGAUACACUUGUGCUAAGUUAUAGCUUUUUAUAGACAACUUGUUGACUAUAAUUAGUCUUGUAGCUUACUCGCUUAUGCUAUUUUACCUACGCUUAGGAUGUUGAAGAUGUAGCACAUCAU
rnacentral:rRNA from 1 species